CAGCAGCCGCGGUAGUACGAAGGGGGCUAGCGUUGUUCGGAUUUACUGGGCGUAAAGCGCACGUAGGCGGAUCGAUCAGUCAGGGGUGAAAUCCCAGAGCUCAACUCUGGAACUGCCUUUGAUACUGUCGAUCUGGAAUAUGGAAGAGGUGAGUGGAAUUCCGAGUGUAGAGGUGAAAUUCGUAGAUAUUCAGAGGAACACCAGUGGCGAAGGCGGCUCACUGGUCCAUUACUGACGCUGAGGUGCGAAAGCGUGGGGAGCAAACAGGAUUAGAGACCCCAGUAGUCCCUGUCUCUUAUAC
rnacentral:rRNA from 1 species